GAUGAACGCUGGCGGCGUGCCUAAUACAUGCAAGUAGAACGCAGUUGCGAACGGGUGAGUAACGCGUAGGUAACUGCCUCAUAGCGGGGGAUAACUAUUGGAAACGAUAGCUAAUACCGCAUACUGUGAGAUGGACCUGCGUUGUAUUAGCUGGUUGGUGAGGGAAAUGCUCACCAAGGCGACGGUACAUAGCCGGCCUGAGCGGGGGGUCGGUCAAACUGUGACUGGGGCACGGCACCGACUCCUACGGGGAGCAGCAGUAGGGAAACUUCGGAAAAUGACGGAAGUCUGACCGAGGAACUCCGCGUGAGUGAAGAAGGUUUUCGGAGCGGAAAGCUCUGUUGUUAGAGAAGCGGUACCUAACCAGAAAGGAACGGCUAACUACGUGCCAGCAGCCGCGGUAAUUC
rnacentral:rRNA from 1 species